rnacentral:rRNA from 1 species
GAUGAACGCUGGCGGCGUGCCUAAUACAUGCAAGUCGAGCGAACGGACGAGAAGCUUGCUUCUCUGAUGUUAGCGGCGGACGGGUGAGUAACACGUGGAUAACCUACCUAUAAGACUGGGAUAACUUCGGGAAACCGGAGCUAAUACCGGAUAAUAUUUUGAACCGCAUGGUUCAAAAGUAAAAGACGGUCUUGCUGUCACUUAUAGAUGGAUCCGCGCUGCAUUAGCUAGUUGGUAAGGUAACGGCUUACCAAGGCAACGAUGCAUAGCCGACCUGAGAGGGUGAUCGGCCACACUGGAACUGAGACACGGUCCAGACUCCUACGGGAGGCAGCAGUAGGGAAUCUUCCGCAAUGGGCGAAAGCCUGACGGAGCAACGCCGCGUGAGUGAUGAAGGUCUUCGGAUCGUAAACUCUGUUAUUAGGGAAGAACAUAUGUGUAAGUAACUGUGCACAUCUUGACGGUACCUAAUCAGAAAGCCACGGCUAACUACGUG